UUACCGAGAGAGCUCAUAUGGAACACUUCCAUCAGGUCUUAACCUGUAUACUAUACCAUCUCAUUUAACAACAGAAGGACCAUGCCAACCAUUUAAGGACAAUGUCGAAUACCUUGAUUUGAGUGCCCCGAGGAAGCUUCUCUUAUGGGCAUACAUGCUGGUGCAUGGUCGUUGCUCAAACAUUCUAGCAGCUGUAAAGCAUUGCGAAGAGAAUGCGAAGUUUACUAGAGUUGAAGAGCCCAGAGUAAUCAGGGAUGUGCACAGGAUUAACAGCAGGCAGUUCCCGUGUCAAACAGCAAGUAGCAGCAUUCUCUAGGCCUUCUCCAGCCCUUCAGGCAGCUGAUUCAAGCCCAACAACAGCAGCAACGGCACCAACAUUUCCAGCCACUACAGGAGGGGAUGUGCACAGGAUUAAUAGCUCAUGACAUGUACCAAACUUCCUUGAAAGUGGCCCCGAAGGAAGCCCAGAUCCCUCUAAUGGCAGAUGGAAUACCAGGCUUGAAGAAUUGGUGGAAGAGAUCGCUCGGGUUGUGGGGGAUGGACGAGAAGACAUUAAAGAGGAGGAUAUGUAGCGGAUAUCAUAUCUGAAGGCAGAGUGAUCAUUUUAGAAAAGAGCAAGGAAUUGUUGGAUUAUAGAAGCCUAGAAAUGAUAUGUUGUAUUGAAAUUGGAAAUUGGAAUUGAAAUUGAAAUGUGUACUAGAAAAGAAGGAAAAGAUUAUUAUGUGUGUGAAUCAUUCUAUUGUCUUUUUCUUCUAUUUGUGUAA